AGUGGCACAGUGUCUGGCUGCAUGCUGACUUUUGAAGAAGGCAGCUGUUUUCUCUGCAGGGCAGGAAGAUGGCAGCAGGGCCUGUGGGUGUGUUGCUAUGACACCCAUGUGCUGCUGCUGUCACCUAACUUCUCUGAAGUCAUAGAUGGCAAGUUUAGAUUCUGUGACACAAAGGGAAGCGUGUCUAAAGGGAAGCGGUGUCUUACUAAUUGUUCCCACGCCACCUUCACUUCUGGGAAAGUUUGCGCAGAGGUGUAAUUUCAGGUCUACAGAGCUCUCAUUCCUUCUAGAUGCUGCCCCUGACCCUUCAUUCCCGUAGGAUUUUGGCUAGCCCCUUCCGAAGGAACAGGAACUCUCACAGGGGACACAGGCUAAGACGCUGUGGAGGGAUGCUGCUCACUGACUCACUCUCGUGACUUGCUCGGCCUGCUUCCUUACAGAACCCAGGACCACCAGCCCAUGGAUCCUGUUUUACAAUGGAUUGUGUCAAGGUGACAUAAAACUAGCCAGCACAAUCACUAAUAGAAAGGAUUCUAUCUUGAAAAUUAUACAUUUUAAAAGCUCAGCCAGGCAAAUCUAUAGCUCUCCAGGUCAAAUCCUUUAUAUAAAGCCUUCGCAGACGCGUUCAUAAACAUACCACUUGUUCCCGCGAAUGAGAGUCGGAGUCUAGCAGGAGUUGUUUCACUUCUGAAGCUCGUUUUAGAGCCUAUGUAAUCUCCCAAGGGGCCCAGGAGGGCUGAAACCUCUGCUUGUGUCUGUGCUGACCCUGAGGAUCACUGUGGGUCAGGGGAGGAGAAACGCUUGCGGGGUGUGAAGUGGAGAAAAUCAAGAACCAGUUGUAACCUGUUCCUCAGCACCUCCAACUCUGAUAAGGCAAGUUGUCUGUGGAGGGCCCAGCCCUCUUUACCGGAGAACUACUCGCACAGUGGCCCAGGAGUUUUUGAGGGAAGGCAAUGUGACUGGGCCUGGGAGAGAUACAGGUCUGGCUUGCGUGUGCUUCAUGCAGCUAUGAUCAGGCAGUGGUCAGUGAGAAGGAACUCAGCAACAUCUGUACCACUGGCCUUCGGAGCACUGGUUCCAUCCUGUUUUCUACCUCCCAAGGCUUCUGCGCGUCUCUUGUGGCCAGCCCUAACCCAGAACCAUAAAAGGAAAUUGGAGAAAAUAUGCUCUUUACUGAGAUGGUACAAAGCUAACAAGAGGGGUGGGUUUUUUUUCCUCCAGUGUUAGAGAAUCUCUGUCCACUAAGAACACAGAGCCUGGGUGCUCUCCUUGUCAGAGGUGUGAGGCCUCAGUCCCAGACUUGGACCCAUGUGUGUCUAUGUGAGUGGCUUAGUGUCUAUUGCUGUGAUAAAACACCACAGCCAAAAUCAACUUGGGGAGGAAAGGGUUCAUUUCAGCUUCCAAUUCUAUAAAUCCAUCACAGAGGGAAGUCCAGGCAGGAACUCAAAGCAGGGACCUGCAGGCGACAACUGAAGCAGAGACCGUGUUUAUUGACCAGCUCCGUAAGGCUCGCUCUUAGUGCUUUCUUAUACAAUUUAGGACCUUAUGCGCUGGGAUGACAGACCCAGGGAGCUGGGUCUGCCCACAUCGCCAUUAAUCAAGAUAAUACUCCACAGAUCUGCCUACAGACCAACCUUAUGGAGGCUUUUUUUCCCAAGUAAGAUUCCCUCUUCCCAUAUAUGCCUGGGCUUGUGUCAGUUUGACAAAACCCAACGGGCACAGUGAGUCUUGAAAAUUUAGCACAUAGACCUCCUUGAGGCUUUAAACUGCACCCAACAGCAUUUACUAGUUCGCACUCACGAUGAUGAGCUUAGAUCUGCUGGUGUCUCCUCUCCUGGGUACCCGCAAACGCUGAAAUUAUGCUAAUGACCCCGAGUCUGGGACAGAACUUGCGGGGAGUUCUAGAACAUCCCUGGGAAUGGAGACUGAGUCUGUUCACCCAGGACCAGGAGCCGACACAUCCGGGGUGGAGAUGCUCCCCAGGAAGGAGGGAAGCCUGUGGCGACAACGUCUGUUUAAGAGGAACAGGGGCCUUGUGGGUCAGUUGCAUAAGCUGGAGCUUCAAGCUCUGCUCCGCUUGGCACGGAGCCUCGCUUUACAGACACUCCUCUUCCACGGGAUUUGAAUGGACGCAGGAGGUAGCACGUCCCUGUUGCCUGGGCUUCGGGUGCCCUCUUGUGGCGGAAUAUUGGUUUUGGGAUUUUUCACAGUUUCUCCUUCCGGGGAUCUCUGGAAUCCUACUGUCUUCACUGUCAUUAGCGGUCUAACUCUACGGAACUCAGUCCUCAGAACCAGGUCUCUCAGGGCUUGGCUUUGUCUGCAGGCUGGUCAAAAUCCGUGGGGUAGAGGGACGUCCCUAACAGCGAGGAAAGGCCACCGAUGGGAGCAGAGCGCUUGGUCUAAAGAUGCUUGUCUGUGCUGUCUGCAAUACACACAAAAGAACUGGCCGGGGCCCUACUUGAUUUCUUCUGGUCUCUUCUAGACUCUAGGCCAAGGGUUCUUAGGUGUGGCACUCCGUCAGACAGUGACAGACCAAAGGGACGCUCCUCCUGCCUCGCUUGGUGGACUGAUGAGUGUUCUGGGGCUACCUGCAGGAGCAUGACCAAGGAGUCACCCAUAGAGUGUGGAUCUCGAGUCCAGGCUGGCCGGAGACUUCCUAUAAAGCUGAGGAUGACUUGAACUGGAUCUUUCUGUCUCUACUUUCCGAGGUCUGGGAGCACAGUUUGUGCUUUUGUUGAUGUCAGAAUAAGUCUCGGGCUGGGAGUGAAUCGCACGGAUUUAAACCUGGCACUGAAGUCCUAGGGACGAUUUUCGGAGGUGCCUCUGGCAAAGGAAAAUGACCCCCCUUCUCCAGCUGAUGCUGACGUUGCGUUGGGUGACAUUGUCAGCUUGAUGGACCCGUGGAAGCAGAUCUCUGGGCACAUCUGUGAGGGAUAUCUAGAUGUGUUUAAAACUGAGAUGGAAAGAAAGACCGAACGACCUUAAAUGUGGACAGUAUCAUUAUAGACUGGGGUCCAUGACUGAAUAAAAAGGAGGAAGAGAGAGAGGCUACAAAGAUGGUUUGGCAGUGAGGUGUGUGACCCUUCAGGAGACCUGGGUUUGAUCCCCACUGCUGGCAUCAAGCAGGUCACAGCCUCCUGUACCUUGAACUCCAGGAGCUCUGAUGCCUCCUGGUCUCCUCGGCACCCGCACAUAUGGGCAUAUACUCCCCAUCCCCCCACAUGCAUAGUACAAUUAAAAAUAAAUCUUUUAAAAAUUUGUGUACUUAUGAGUACUCCACUGCAUAUACAUCUGCAGGACAGAAGAGGGCACCAGACCCCUUAUGACAGUUGUGAGCCGCCAUGUGGUUGCUGGGAACUCAACUCAGGAGCUCUGGAAGAGCAGCCAGUGCUUUUAACCGCUGAGCCAUCUCUCCAACCUCCUAAAAAAAAAAUCUUUAAAAACUAAUUUUUAGAAAAGUAAAUGAGCUGAGCACAGCAUUUGACCUCUCUGCUCAUGGGCUGUGAAUGCAGUGAGGCCAGACACCGGCCGCCCCGCCGUGAUGCCUCCAGCACUGGGGACUGCAGCUGCAACUGUGAGCCAGCUAAACCCUUCCUUCCUAAAAUGGUUUUGCCAAGUGCUCUGCAGCAGCAUCGCAAACUCGGGAGAGCACGGAACAGAAGACUUGGGACACUCUGAGGCAUGUCACAGUUCUGUUAGCUCAAGCCAUGCUCAGAAUUGGGAAACCUCUUCAGCUGUGAGAGCGACGUCUGGCUUUCCUCAAGCUCACUGAAUUACAUGUGUCCUAAGAGUUCCUGGCAUUUUUUGGCAAACAAAACUAUUCAACUGCAAGCAGACAGGCAAAUUAUAUCAUUCCGACAUCCCACAAAGUGGCUCCUGCACACUCUCCCCAUUAACCACUCCCACCAACUACGGUUCUCCGCCAUGGACAUAUCGUUCUUGUCUUAGAGUUCACCCCAUCAGGCUCCAGAAAAAUAUAAUUUCCUAAAUCAUGAAAGUGCUUAUUGUGACUUAUCUCCAUAUGCUUUUUUAAAAAGAUUUAUUUAUUUAUAUAUGUGAAUACACUAUCACUGUUUUCAGACAUACCAGAAGAGGGCAUCGGGUCUCAUUACAGAUGAUUGUGAGCCACCAUGUGCUCGCUGGGAUUUGAACUGAGGACCUCUGGUAGAGCAGUCAGUGCUCUUAACCACUGAGCCAUCUCUCCAGCCCCUCCAUAUGUUUCAUUAAGCUAUGUGGAUCUCAACACCUAGCUGUAAGAAAGACUGCCAUUUUGGAUAUUAAUAGGGAAAGGCAGCUGCUCUAGGGGUCCCAAAAGGAGUCCUCCCUGAGUCUCUGUAGCUAGUUAGGUGCUGCUGGCUCCAGAGGAGCCUGGCGGACUCUCCUCAUCAGGAGGAGUCUGGUUCUGCGAGGGCUGUGUGGUCAAAAGGACUUUGCUCUUUUCCAGCUGGUUCCAUAGGCAUCUCUGUGUUGCUUUUACACUCGAUUUCCUCCCAGAUUGUUUUCACAUUGGUCCUUUGCCAUUUCUGGUCCUCCUAUCCAUCCUCCUCCACCUGAUAUGGGCCUACUCAAUUCACCACAUUCUAGGAACCAGCCAGUCUCCAGCCCACUCUGAGCUCUGCCUCUCCCCAUGAGGGUCUCACUUUUCUAAUUACUUUCAGUCCCUUAUCCUUCCUAGGACAGGGGCUGCCUCUGUUUAUAAAUCAUCAUUUUCAUUUUUGAAUUCCAUCGCCAUAUUUAUGUUCCAUAGCUGACUCUACAUUUUCUCAGUGAUUUUUCUGAUUCGGGAUGUAACAGCUUUCUGUGGAGGAGAAUGGAGGUGAGAGGGUUGGGGAUUUAGCUCAGCGGUAGAGCCCUUGCCUAGGAAGUGCAAGGCCCUGGGUUCGGUCCCCAGCUCCAAAAGGAAAAAAAAAAAAAAAAAAGACGCUCCCACUUUGUGACUUGUUCAGGUAUAGGCUCUACCCAUAACCGAGUCAUACUGCUGAGAGCCAACAAGAAUGGAGGUGAGAGAGCCACCCACGGCAGUCACCAGAAACCCUGCCGUAAGUCACCUCUUCACAUUUAUCUCCAUUAUUUAAACUAAACUCCUAUAAACCUUGUGAUAUUUCUUUAGUCAUCAAAAUUUCUUGUUAUAUAAAACUUUGGAAACAGGUAUCUAAUUCAAGCUGAGUUCUUAAAAAAAAAAAAACUCUUGGUUUUCAUUAAGGUGAAAAAGAGAAAGAUAAGGGAGAGAGAGAAAGGGUGGGAUCAAGCUGCAUGAGGGCAAAUGACGCUGGGUCAUUUUGGAUGAUGUGUGGAUAGGGUAGUCCCAUUGUCUCAGCUCCACAGAUGGCUCCAUGGAGCAAAGUGGUGCUGUGGUUAGGGAGAAGGAAGGAGUGGACACUGACUAGGUAACCACUGAGUACCUGGCCCUUAAAGGGCUCCCCUGCUCAGUGGGGAGAGGACAUGUCCAUUCAUCCUGGGUAAUACUUCUUAGGUAGGGUUCCAUUGCUGUAAAGAGACACUGUGACCAAAGCAAUUUACAAAGGACAUUUAAUUGGAACUGACUUACUGGUUCAGAGGUUCAGUCCAUUAUCAUUGUUGUGGAAUGCAUGGCAGGAAGUGCUGAGUUCUACAUCUUGUUCCGAAGCAAACAGAAGACUGGCUCCCUCAGCCAGCUAGAAGGAAGCUCUCAAAGCCCACCCCCAUAGUGACACACUUCCUCCAACAAGGCCACACCUCCUAAUAGCACCACUCCUGGGUCCAGGUAUAUUCAAACCACCACAACCUUCAAUGAGAAAGCACACCUGUUCACCCGGAAGGGAGAACAUGAGUGGUCUGUAAGCUGAAGGUGGGCAGAGCUGAGCCUUCACUGAGGGCGGCAAAACCAGAAUGGAAACCAGUAUGUGUACAAUACACACACCUACACACGUGCACACACGCACACGCACACACACGCACACUCACACUCAGGCAGCCUGGAGUAGGGAUCGGCUUCUUUCUUGGGAAGUCUGCAGAGGCACAAAUCUGUGCUAUUGAAAGAGGAAGGUGAACCUCCUGCAUUCCUUUCAGAUAAGCACUAUGGGCUCGAGUAGAGUUGAGCCUGGGGAAGGAAAAGCAGUUUGCUUAGCAACAGCAGGAAAAUGUGGAAGAAUGUCUCAAACCCGGAGAUGCUGGGUCUUCGGCUCUACUCAGGACUACCUGGACCCCUCACAGAUGACCUGAAGAAAAGCACCAGUCAUUUGGAAGAUUUGUGCUUUCAUAUGCGUGGCUCAUUUGAGCACCUAAGCAUAGCUACUGGCUGACUAGGAUGAGUGGCUUCAUGUGGGUUUAUACGGUGUGGUACUAGAACCUUCUAGACCGAGAUAUGGUUCUGGGUAGCCCUUGACUGAAAAAGGCCUCACUAAGAACUCUUGGUUCCUGCUGAAAGAACCUAUGAAGACACUCAAUUCUCAACACUUAACCCUGUACCAGGAACCUGGUAGAGGGUGACCAGACUACAGUAAGGGCCCAUGUAAGGGCAGGUGGCUCUGGUUCAGCUCCAGCAGCAACACAACAGCAGGGGGAGAAAGCUAACUAUGCCGGUGGAAACAAAGCUACCACACACGGAGCUUCUGAGGCCAGGGGACCCCUCCCCAGCAGCCCAAUACUGGGUGAAGCCCUUUCUAUGCCAGUCAACCAAUACUUUAUCCUAAGGUCCCUAGACAGAACUUAAAACUGAACACACAGACCUGUUUAUCAUUUCUUAGGGAAAAACGUGUGUGUUUUCUGCAGAGAAAUUACUUGGAAAAAGUAGGUAUCUAGAGAGGAAUUUAGUUAAAAAGUACAGCAUACAAGACAGGCAAUAGCUCAGUACAGAAACUUUAAUAAUAUAUCCUUUAUUUUCAAUGGUGGGGAAGACGUAAAUGGACGGCUGCCAGCCAGACCCAUGCGCUCAGUACUCCUCCCCUUCUUCUGCCUCUGCUUCCACAGAAUCCACGCCCACCUCUUCAUAAUCUUUCUCCAGCGCGGCCAGGUCCUCCCGGGCCUCUGAGAACUCCCCUUCCUCCAUGCCCUCUCCCACGUACCAAUGCACGAAGGCCCGCUUGGCGUACAUGAGGUCAAAUUUGUGGUCCAGGCGGGCCCAGGCC